GAUCAUGGCUCAGGAUGAACGCUGGCGGCGUGCUUAACACAUGCAAGUCGAACGAAGCAUUUUAUGGAAGCUUCGGGUGGAAGUAGAGAUGACUUAGUGGCGGACGGGUGAGUAACGCGUGGGUAACCUGCCUUGUACAGGGGGAUAACAGUUAGAAAUGACUGCUAAUACCGCAUAACCCUUUAGUGCCGCAUGGCACGGAGGAAAAGAUUUAUCGGUACAAGAUGGACCCGCGUCUGAUUAGCUAGUUGGUGAGGUAACGGCCCACCAAGGCGACGAUCAGUAGCCGACUUGAGAGAGUGAUCGGCCACAUUGGGACUGAGACACGGCCCAAACUCCUACGGGAGGCAGCAGUGGGGAAUAUUGCACAAUGGGGGAAACCCUGAUGCAGCGACGCCGCGUGAAGGAAGAAGUAUUUCGGUAUGUAAACUUCUAUCAGCAAGGAAGAUAAUGACGGUACUUGACUAAGAAGCCCCGGCUAACUACGUGCCAGCCGCGGC
rnacentral:rRNA from 1 species